rnacentral:lncRNA from 1 species
AAGAGCUACAAAAAAGUGUAUAUGACCAAAAUUGUCAAUUGACCCCUUAAAGGAGUUAUUGCCCUUUAAAAGAACAAUUUUACACAAUUUGUUAAUCAUGUUUGUUAACAUUUAAAAUCUUCUCCUAAUAUACAGGUGAGCGAUUCAGGCUCUUGAGAGCCUCUUGUUUGUCAACUGAUCAUGUCACUUCAGUUCUGUGUGUUCAUCUUUUUCUUUUGUCUAAUUUGAUUUAAGACUAAGCUAUAGAAACUGUAAAAUUAACUAUCUUGUAACAGCAGGAUUACAAAAACAUACACAUUCAAAACAACCAGAACACCAAUUAGAAACUAAAAACAACAAGAAUCACAGAUUGGUUAUUAAAAACAAUGUACCUGCUUGGGGAAUAUAAAAAGCUGAAAAUUAUUAGUUACUUAGAUUCUGUAUAUAAAUUAUUUGCAUUCAUUUGGUGUCAGAUAUUCAUCGAUCCCAACUGUUUGGUCAUAUUUUCAAAUAUUUUUAUUUCCUAAUUCCAUCACCUUGUGACAUGUCACAAUAUAAAGUAGCUCAAAUCUCAAUCGUACUUAAAGGAUUAAGAUUUUUUUCCUUUCCCUCCUAAGUUUUCAUGUAAAAUGAUAAAACGAAGAAAAACUAAUAGUAGGCACCUUAUUGAAAAUUGUUUCACAAUUAUCUUUUAAAAUCUCUUUUUUGCAGCCUGGCACUGUUUUAUUCAGAUACAUCUUAUGUGUUUUUAUGGUUUCAAAGUGUUUAUUAUUUAGUAAAUCAAUUAAAUUACCUAGAUUUUCUUCAUGUUCCUGAAUCAUGAUACCAUGAAAAAGUUAGAAUAUUAAAGUAUGACCAAAUACGAAGAUUAACUAUAGACAGUUUGAUUUUUUAUAGGUUAUUUGAUGAAAAAUCUGACCAAAAACUUUAGCUUUAAGAGAUUCACUGAAAUAUCAUAUGGCAGCUUUAAAGUCUUGUAUAUUCUUCAUUUCAAAAACUUGUGUUAUUUGUGUUUAUUUUUUCAUUACCUAUUUUGAUAAUUAUUUAGUUAAUUGAAAUAUUUGUCAACUAUUGUCAUCAAAUUAUGUCCUCCAUCUAAAAUCAUCAUUAAAACAUUUCAUACAUUUAACACCAGCUAAAAGCAAGCUUAAAUAAAAGUGUUCUGUGCCGGUCCUCUUUCAAAAGUUAAACAUUUUCAAAUUAUUAUAAUUAAAUAAGAGAACCAACACCUUCCGACAGAAAGUUAGGCUAGAAUAAAGACUUAGGACACCAGGGGUAAUACAUUCUUUAUCAUAUUUUGGGUUUCUUUCCAGUUGAUCAACUUUUGAUAGAAUUUCUGACCUUAGACCUAGGUGUUUUUAUCCUGAUCAAGACUUUUCAGUUAUUCCUGCAUUUCUGGUACUACAUUAGGAUAUAAUGAUGACUUACAAAUGAACUUUAUAUUUCAUUCAAAUUGUCCACAUUUUUGCAAAACUAUGGCCCUUCAUAAAUUUAUUCUUUUCCUGAACAUUUUUGUUUGUUGAAAGACAUAGCUACAACCCUUAACGUAAAUCUUAAGUUUGAUAGAAUGCAUUGAUAAACUAACAAUAGUUUUGCAAAGGGCGGGAUACUGCUAAAGAUAUUGGAAAACCAUAGAGAAGUCAUUCUAUAAAGACAUUGAUAGAACCUGACCAAUGCACACUCCUUAAGCUUCUAUUAUACUGUAUAGCUCUAGCAGUGGCUGAUCCAGGGGGUUGAGUUGGAAUCCCCCUUUUUUGACACUCAAUGCAUUUGAAUAGGGAUAAAUAGUUGGAACCCCCCUUCCCCCUUUAUCCUGGGUUGGGACCCCCUUAAAAAAUGGCUUUAUCCACCCCUGUCUAGCAUUAAGAAUAAUAGCAGUAGAUUCAGUUUAGGUAGAUUGUGGAGUUUGGCACAUAGAUUAGAACAUAAUUAAUACAUUACAUUGUAGAAUGCAUAUAUUUAUUGGUCUGUAUCAUUUUACCAUUUUUUAUGUUGUAAGUUCAUAACUUAUAACAUAACUAAUUAAGAGUUGGAUUUCUGGACAACUUGAUGAAUUUUCUAACACUUCAUAUAUAUAUAUAUAUAUGUUUUUCUUGUCUUUACAUUUAACAUCCUGUUGAGUUUUGUUUUAUAUUAAAAUCUAUUUAUGUAUAAUACUGAUCUGUUAAGUGUGCUUGUAGAUAUUGAUGAAAUAUAGAA